rnacentral:rRNA from 1 species
UACGAAGGGGGCUAGCGUUGCUCGGAAUCACUGGGCGUAAAGGGUGCGUAGGCGGGUCUUUAAGUCAGGGGUGAAAUCCUGGAGCUCAACUCCAGAACUGCCUUUGAUACUGAAGAUCUUGAGUUCGGGAGAGGUGAGUGGAACUGCGAGUGUAGAGGUGAAAUUCGUAGAUAUUCGCAAAGAACACCAGUGGCGAAGGCGGCUCACUGGCCCGGAACUGACGCUGAGACGCGAAAGCGUGGGGAGCAAACAGGG